rnacentral:rRNA from 1 species
AUGAGGAUUGUAGUUACGGCAACUUUGCUCACUUUGUAUCUACAGAUGAAGGAGAGGCAAACGGGGAAGAGGCUUGGGACUGGAACCAGGUGUAAUGGGCUAUGGUACAUGGAUCGCAAGGUGCCAAAUAAUGCGGUGUCUACGAUGUUAGCAACAAUGAUGGGAGAAAAGGAAACAAAGGUAAUGCUUCACCAUUGUAGAAUGGGACAUAUGUCUUUUGAGAAGAUGAGUAAAGUCUUUCCCGAUGUAAUGUGUGGGGUGGAUAAGAACAAGCUUGUGUGUGAUGCAUGUGAGUUUGCUAAACACACAAGGACAUCUUAUGUGAGUAAGGGUCUUAGGAGUAUUUCCCCUUUUAUGCUUGUUCACUCAGAUGUGUGGACAUGUCCUGUUAUCUCUCUAAGUGGAAUGAAGUACUUUGUUACAUUCAUUGAUUGCUAUACUCGUAUGACAUGGGUGUAUCUUAUGAAGCAUAAGGAUGAGGUUUUUAAAUGCUUUCAGUAUUUCUAUGCUUAUGUGAAAAAUCAGUUCAAUACACAGAUACAGAUGAUCAGGACAGAUAAUGGGACAGAGUAUGUGAAUAAGGAGUUUGUCACAUUCCUAUCAAGUCAAGGUAUAUUGCACCAAACAUCUUGUCCGGGUACACCACCUCAAAACGGAGUAGCUGAGAGGAAGAAUCGCCAUAUUUUGGAGGUUGCUCGGUCACUAAUGUAUACAAUGAACGUGCCAAAAUUCUUGUGGAGUGAGGCUGUAAUGACAGCUACAUUCCUCAUCAACCGGAUGCCGUCAAGGGUGAUUGGAAUGAAGUCGCCAUGUGAGAUGUUACUAGGUGAGAACAAAUUCUUAGUUCCUCCUAAGGUAUUUGGAUGCACCUGCUUUGUCCGGGAUCAUAGACCCUCAGUGGGAAAAUUGGGUCCACGAGCAGUAAAGUGCAUCUUCAUAGGUUACCCAUCUGGUCAGAAGGGAUACAAGUGUUGGAGUCCCAGCGAGCGGAGAACAUUUGUGAGCAUGGAUGUGACAUUCAGGGAGUCUGAACCGUUUUAUGGAGAAAAAACGGAUCUCAGCUCGUUAUUUGACUUCGACUCUCCUAGCAUGAGUGGUGCUAGUCGAGAGGGCGGGAGUGAACCACCAAGGACAAAGGAAGAUGAACCACCGAGAGUUGUGGUUAGUUCAAUUCCAUGUCAUGCAAGGGAAGAGAGAUGGAGAAAGCCAAAUGAGGAAGAAAAUCUAAGGGUGUAUACCAGGAGGCAACCUAUGACUGAAGAGAAAUGGAGAAAGCCAAAUGAGGAAGAAAAUUUAAGGGUCUAUACCAGGAGGCAACUACAAGAUGAGCAGCAACAACAACAAUCUCCAAUAGCAAGUGACACACAUAUGUAG